GGGUCAGUAGGUUGGUCGUGCCACCGGUACGUACUGGUCUCAUUGAUUCCUCCUUCCUGAAGAACCGUAAUGCCAUUAAUUUGGUGUUGCGGGGAAACAGGACGGUUACUUUGAAAAAAUUAGAGUGUUUAAAGCAAGCUAACGCUUGAAUACAUUAGCAUGGAAUAAUGAAAUAGGACGAUCGAUCCUAUUUUGUUGGUUUCUAGGAUUGACGUA
rnacentral:rRNA from 1 species